GGCUUAAUGUUUUUGUAUUGCAUAAAUAUGACAAGUAACUAUCCACUUAGCAGUAAGUUCGUCAUUAUCUUUAUAUUCGUCAUCAAAUGGAUUUAAUAUUAUGGUUGUAUUCAUGGAUCUUUCUGGACAGUGGGUGAUGUGUGUCGGCCGUUAACGUUAGCAUAUCUCCAUGGACAGCUAAGUGUCUAUGAUGUUAAAUUAUUAGGCCUAUGUUGAGUAUAACUAUUUUAUUCGUAAGUAUAAAAUGGAAGUUAACACAUCUCCUCCCAGUCGUUGUUUGGAAUUUUAGCCUUAGUCUCCCGGCCAGUUUCAUAAAUUUUCAUCAGCCAGCGAACAUUUUGUCCGAUGGGCAUGUGUAAUUUCUAGAAGUGCUAGUUCUUCAGAAAAAGGAUACGUGCCUAAGUACACUAAACCAACGUUAGUUCUGCUUUUUUCUUUUUUGUGUCACUCCUCACCACAUAUGGCAGAUUUAGUGUGAAGAGCCACCUGUACAAGAUUCCUGGGACAGCAGAACAUGCACCUCACGCACUACCCUGGCACCCUGGCUGAACAACCCGCAGCACAUCAUCUCCAGCUGAGAGGGGGACUCAUACAUUCAUUUGAAAUCAGCUCUACUGAGCGUAACACAACUCUUGCAAUCAAAUUUGGCAGAGGCUCUGAAGGCCACAUAGCCAGCAAGGUACACUGACACAUUGCCCUCAAUGACGUCCAGCCCCUUCAUGAACUCUGUGUUGUCCAGUCCAGGGAAUGUGGGUUCCUCAUCAGUAGACUGUACGUGAGGCAUGGUCAGUGCGGUGCAUGGAUGGGGAGUUGCCAUCUGCGAUGACUCAGUGCAGCUCUACAAAAUCAUUGCAAAUGAUUACAGACUUACAGUAUACUAAUCAUGUGUGACACUUUUGUUUUUGAAAGGGUGUUUCGUGUACCUCGUGAGGCAUGGUCAGUGCGGUGCAUGGAUGGGGAGUUGCCAUCUGCGAUGACUCAGUGCAGCUCUACAAAAUCAUUGCAAAUGAUUACAGACUUACAGUAUACUAAUCAUGUGUGACACUUUUGUUUUUGAAAGGGUGUUUCGUGUACCUCGUGAGGCAUGGUCAGUGCGGUGCAUGGAUGGGGAGUUGCCAUCUGCGAUGACUCAGUGCAGCUCUACAAAAUCAUUGCAAAAGAUUACAGACUUACAGUAUACUAAUCAUGUGUGACACUUUUGUUUUUGAAAGGGUGUUUCGUCUACCUCAAACAAAUGGGACAAUUGCAGCAAUAGGUGUAUUUCCUCCGGUUCGCAAUUUGUAUUUCUCCCAAAUGUCAUUAGAUAGUCUAGCACGGCCUGCCUGUAGUCUAAUCGGAAUUGCUGAGGGUCUGGAUUGUCCCUGUGCCCGCCCUUCGCUCUGAUCACCCCAAAGAAGUGUUCCAGGCAGUCCUGGUUGAGGUGCCUCGUAAAUAGAAACUGAAAUCCUUUCUCUGUGAAUGCAAAUGACAAACAGUACAUUGGCCAACAGCAGAAAACAUGCAGUGGUGGACAAAGCUCAUUAGCAUUAGCAAAGCUCAAUUUGAAUAAUUAUGCCUUAUUGCUGCUACCUUUCAAUUCAGCCCAGAUUUCCUUGAUUGCUCUUAGGUUAUGCCUCCAACCAUUUAGGCAAUUCAAGCUGUUGCCACUGGCACAUCUGACAGAUGCCAGCCAGUUAAUACUCUCAUUGAUAAAAUCAAUAUGUGUCUCUCUGAAGGCAUCCUUUUGUGGUGUGCUGCUGGACAAUGUGCUACUGUUAAAGCAGUCAAACAUCUGGUUAAAGUGGGCUACAAAAUCUGCCGUCGUUUUUGCCCCCUCUCUUAGCUUCCCCAUGUCUGCCAUGGUGAGCAGUGCAGCCGCAACAGAAUGACUAAGAACCUGUAAUAAAAAAAUAAAAAAAAUCCCAUUUUCAGGACCAUAGAUAAAGAUUGUAAAUUGAAUGUUAUACGCCUGCAUGACAGUUUUCACUUGUGGCUUACCUGAGUGGCGAGAGGCACACUCAUUGUUGAAAAGGCAGUGAGGGACAGAUGCCGUUGGGUUAACUUGGGUGCCAUUCGGUGUUGUCUUUGUGAAUCAAUUUUAAACAUUUCAGUGAUGUCUCCCCAUUCUGCCAAUUUGUCCCCUAUGUAAAAUCCAUAUUUUCGCAAAUUGUUUCUGAUGUUUUUCAUUAAAUGGGGGGGGUCGAAUAAAAAAUGAAUCUUCUGGCUUUUGACAAAGAAGUACGGUUUUUCUUCUGUUAUACCCAGGUUUCUACAGGCUGCCAGGUUGUUGCUGCCUUGGUCCAUUACCAGCACCAUGGGAGUGAAGCCAGUGUCAAGCACCUUUUCCACCGCCUCCAUGAUUUUGGUUUUUAAGACCCCAUGCUUCAUGGUCCCAGAUGACAAGAAGUACCCUAUGGGUUGUUUCCAUUUCCCAGUUAGACUACGGAUCAUGAAAACCCCUGCAUGGUUGGCUGGUCUUCCCCCUUCGUCAUACCCUUCUACUUCAUCUUUCGAGAUGUUAUAAUUUAGGCUACAUUUCAAUGUAAUUUCAUCAAAUGUGAUGGCAACGUGCCUAUCUCGCUCUUCCAUAUGCUGCACUUGAUGUUUAAGUGCAUACAGCACAGGUUCAUGCCAUCCCGGCCCGAUGUCUACUCUCUGCAAGAUAUUUGAAAGGGUCCUGGCUGUAGGGAGCUUGAAAAUUCUCCUCAUGGUUCGGUAGGCUUUUGGCCCUGUACCCUUAACCUGUAACGCCCAACUUUUCAUGAAGUUGCUCCACCGAAUGGCCCUUGGUUUUUUUUUGGCAUUAUCAAUUUGCUCGUUGACAAAUUGUGCGGCUUGUUUUGGCAAUACUUUGGAAAUUUCCCUCUUUAAUGUUUGUUUGCUGAUAGAUGGUGUCUUUUUCUUUAGCCUUGACAGCUUUGAUUUGUAGCAGCCAAUUUUUCUUUUCAGUUUUUCCACUGUGUUGUCAUUGCUGACACUGGCCAGUACAUCAGUGCCUAAAAAGAAAUGUGACAACUGUAACAACAGACUUAUGCACAGACUACUACCUAUGCAGUGUUCAACACUCAGAAUGUAUCUGUUACCACCAUUUGCCAUUAAAUCACUUACUAUCCAGGA